rnacentral:tmRNA from 1 species
GGGGGCGUAAAGGCUUCGACGGAAAUUAUGAGGCUUUUGGUUGCAUGCCGAGCGUUCUGCCAACUCGUAAAAUUGGUGGAAAAUAAAGUAAUCGCAGACGAUUAUAAUUACGCUGUAGCUGCUUAAGGCAGCUUCCGUCCAGUCGGGAUUUUUCCUGCAGAUUCAGGCAAUGGACGUCGACUAUGCGGGACCGCUGAACCAGGGUGUCUGACCCUGUGUUUGGUUAAAUUUUUCAGACUAUGUCGCAGGGUAUCCCUCCUGAAGGAGACCCACCGGCUAAAUUUAAAUUUCAGGAUAAGCAUGUAGAAGCCACUGCUGACUGUUUUCGGACGCGGGUUCAAUUCCCGCCGCCUCCACCA